rnacentral:rRNA from 1 species
AAUGGGCGAAAGCCUGACGCAGCAACGCCGCGUGCGGGAUGAAGGCCUUCGGGUUGUAAACCGCUUUCAGCAGGGAAGAAGCGAAAGUGACGGUACCUGCAGAAGAAGCACCGGCUAACUACGUGCCAGCAGCCGCGGUAAUACGUAGGGUGCAAGCGUUGUCCGGAUUUAUUGGGCGUAAAGAGCUCGUAGGCGGUUAGUCGCGUCGGAUGUGAAAUCCCAGUGCUUAACACUGGGCCUGCAUUCGAUACGGGCUGACUAGAGUGUUGUAGGGGAGACUGGAACUCCUGGUGUAGCGGUGAAAUGCGCAGAUAUCAGGAAGAACACCGGUGGCGAAGGCGGGUCUCUGGGCAACUACUGACGCUGAGGAGCGAAAGCGUGGGGAGCAAACAGGAUU